rnacentral:tRNA from 1 species
GGUUAUGUAGCUUAAUUUAGAGUAAAGGUUUUGUAAUCCUUAGGUGCAUUUUGUAAGUGCUUUAACCU